rnacentral:rRNA from 1 species
UACGUAGGUGGCAAGCGUUGUCCGGAUUUAUUGGGUUUAAAGGGUGCGUAGGCGGCUUUAUAAGUCAGUGGUGAAAUAUGGCAGCUCAACUGUCAAGGUGCCAUUGAUACUGCGGAGCUUGAGUACAGAUGAGGUAGGCGGAAUUGACGGUGUAGCGGUGAAAUGCUUAGAUAUCGUCAAGAACACCUAUAGCGAAGGCAGCUUACUAGGCUGUAACUGACGCUGAGGCACGAAAGUGUGGGGAUCAAACAGG